UACGAAGGGGGCUAGCGUUGCUCGGAAUCACUGGGCGUAAAGGGUGCGUAGGCGGCUCUUUAAGUCAGGGGUGAAAUCCUGGAGCUCAACUCCAGAACUGCCUUUGAUACUGAAGAUCUUGAGUUCGGGAGAGGUGAGUGGAACUGCGAGUGUAGAGGUGAAAUUCGUAGAUAUUCGCAAGAACACCAGUGGCGAAGGCGGCGAUCUGGGUCGAUACUGACGCUGAGGUGCGAAAGCGUGGGGAGCAAACAGG
rnacentral:rRNA from 1 species